rnacentral:tRNA from 1 species
GCCGGCGUAGCUCAGGGGUAGAGCAGCUGAUUCGUAAUCAGCAGGCCGUGGGUUCGAUUCCCACCGCCGGCUCCA